rnacentral:rRNA from 1 species
GAUGAACGCUGGCGGCGUGCCUAAUACAUGCAAGUCGAGCGAACGGACGAGAAGCUUGCUUCUCUGAUGUUAGCGGCGGACGGGUGAGUAACACGUGGAUAACCUACCUAUAAGACUGGGAUAACUUCGGGAAACCGUAGCUAAUACCGGAUAAUAUUUUGAACCGCAUGGUUCAUAAGUGAAAGACGGUCUUGCUGUCACUUAUAGAUGGAUCCGCGCUGCAUUAGCUAGUUGGUAAGGUAACGGCUUACCAAGGCAACGAUGCAUAGCCGACCUGAGAGGGUGAUCGGCCACACUGGAACUGAGACACGGUCCAGACUCCUACGGGAGGCAGCAGUAGGGAAUCUUCCGCAAAGGGCGAAAGCCUGACGGAGCAACGCCGCGUGAGUGAUGAAGGUCUUCGGAUCGUAAAACUCUGUUAUUAGGGAAGAACAUAUGUGUAAGUAACUGUGCACAUCUUGACGGUACCUAAUCAGAAAGCCACGGCUAACUACGUG